CGCUGGCGGCGUGCCUAACACAUGCAAGUCGAGCGGGGACAUGCGACGGAAGAGAAGUUUCGGAUGGAUCUGAAGAUGUAUGUUCUAGCGGCGGACGGGUGAGUAACGCGUGAGCAACCUGUCCUUCACAGGGGGAUAACACAGCGAAAGUUGUACUAAUACCGCAUAAGACCACGGCGGGACAUCCCGCAGGGGUCAAAGGAGCAAUCCGGUGAAGGGUGGGCUCGCGUCCGAUUAGAUAGUUGGUGAGGUAACGGCCCACCAAGUCGACGAUCGGUAGCCGACCUGAGAGGGUGAUCGGCCACAUUGGGACUGAGACACGGCCCAAACUCCUACGGGAGGCAGCAGUGGGGAAUAUUGGGCAAUGGGGGGAAACCCCCUGACCCAGCAACGCCGCGUGAGGGAAGAAGGUUUUCGGAUCGUAAACCUCUGUCCUUGGUGAAGAGGAAGAGACGGUAGCCAAGGAGGAAGCCCCGGCUAACUACGUGCCAGCCGCUGC
rnacentral:rRNA from 1 species